UACAGAGGAGCCAAGCGUUGUCCGGAUUGACUGGGCGUAAAGCGCACGCAGGCGGAUGCGCGCGUGGGGUGUGAAAUCUGGCCGCUUAACGGCCAGGCGCCAUCCCAUACGGCGCGUCUGGAGUGAUGCAGAGGUCGGUGGAAUUGCCGGUGUAGUGGUGAAAUGCGUAGAGAUCGGCAGGAACACCCAGGGGGAAACCAGCCGACUGGGCAUCUACUGACGCUGAGGUGCGAAAGCGUGGGGAGCGAACAGG
rnacentral:rRNA from 1 species